GCCGGGCUCGGUGGCUCACGCCUGUAAUCCCAGCACUUUGGGAGGCCGAGACGGGUGGAUCAUUUGAGCCCAAGAGUUUGAGACCAGCCUGGCCAACAUUGGGAAACCCUGUACUAAAAAUACAAAGCUGGGACUACAGACGCCUGCCACCAUGCCUGGCUAAUUUUUGUGUUUUCAGUAGAGACAGGGUUUCGCCAUGUUGGCCAGGCUGGUCUCAAACUCCUGAUCUCAGGUGAUCCACCCGC
rnacentral:lncRNA from 1 species